UCAAAUCAGGGAUGUCCCAUUUCAUUGCAGAUUCGAGUCCAGGAAAAAACCUUACAUCCAAAGAGCAGGCAAAAUCAAAAUCGGAGAAAAAGAGAAGGUCUCCCAGAGUAAAUUUGAGGAAACCAUGGAAUGAAGAAGAAAAGGCUGCUGUGGAAAAACACCUGGGGAGACUUAUAAAAGGGUGUCAAGUGCCUGGCAAAGAACAAUGCACUGACUGCAAAAUGAAAGAGCCGCAGGCCUUGGCUCAAAGAACCUGGAAAGACGUAAAGAACUUUGUCCACAAUAAAAUUGUGACCCUCAAGAGAA